ensembl:lncRNA
UGGAGCCCAUAGGGCCCUAUAGCGGAGCGCGGGGGGCGUGGUCCCCGCCGGUGUGUGCGGGAUGUGGCGCGUGGGGUCACUGUCCCUAUAUUGCUGCUCAAGGCUUUGUUCCCUAUAGUGAUGCGUGGUGCCCGUAGGCAUGGGAUGUGCAGAGGAUGUGGUCCCAUUGGGACAGCCGGCUGUACAGACCCUAUAGGGGUACCGGGGACAGCGGUGCCCACAGGGGCAUGAGGGGAAGGGUGUAUGGCAGCUGUAGCUGUACAGUCUGUGCAGUCACUCUAAGUGUGUAGGCACUGGACAUGCGAUUGUGUGUGAAGUUACAGUCUUCAUAAGUGCAUGCAGGGAAUAUGGUGAUCCCUGUGGAUUUUGAGGGCUAUGAAGACCUUGUAGGUGUGUAUCAGUAUUAAGCACCCUGUGGAUGUACGCUGGUUAUGUUCCCUGUCAGUGGGAUGUACGGUCCAUGUGGAUGAUGUGAGUGACCUAUAAAUGUAGGCAGGCUUGGUGUGAGACUGUGCAGUCGGGUGUGAGAUGCCACGGUUGAUGGAGCCCAUGUGUCUGAGCGGGGCAGCCAAGGAGCAGAGCUCCAUUACCUCCUCCAGAGGUUUGUGUCCCAGGACAGUGGUCCCAAUACAACACAGUGCUGGGCAAAGUCCUGGUGCUUCCCCCACGUCCCACUGCAAACUGAAGGAAAGCCUUUAUAAACAUUUCCCAAAGACGUGCAAGGCACUGCCAGCUGUAAGGACACACAGAGGACAGAGAGGAAUCACAGCGUGGAGCAGCACGCAGGCAGAGAAUAACAGUGAAGUUAGUUCAAGUUUGGGACAGCCGAGCACAGAGAGAGAUGAUGAAUUGUGGACAUGCAGAGAGGUUUUGGAGAAGCCAGGCGGAGAAAAUACUGAGUUUAGAUGAAGUCCCAGGAUGCUCAAAGUGAGCUGUGCCACUAAAGAUAAUCUUGAAACCUGGAGCUGAAGCAGUAAGGCAGAAGCAACAUCCAAUUAAACUAGAGACUAGGGAGGGUCUCUAAGAAAAUUUGGCUUAUUAGUAACCUAAAAAUAAUAUUGCUGUGUUGCCAGUGAAGAAACCAAAUGGGAAGGGGUACAGGUUAGGCAAGUAUCUAAGAGCAAUGAGUCAGAUCCCACAGGAAAUACAGCUGGUAGUAGCAAAUCCUUGUACUUGCUAAUGGCUCUGUAGGAGCAGCGCAGGGGGUGAAUGGUAUUAGGUCUGAAGGACGCUUUCUUCUGAAUAUCUCUGCAUGUGGCAAGUCAGGCAAUGUUCACCUUUGGGUGGGAAAAUCCAGAGGCAAAUCGGAAGAAGCCAAUUGGCUAAGGAACUGUAGAUAUGGAAGAAGGAGCCUUCACAGGGAGCCUCGGUGUUACUGCAAUACAUGGAUAUCAUUCUCCUGGCUGUAGAAACUAAAGAAUGUGCAUGCAUGACUGAUAGUUUGCUGAGCUUCCAGGAAGAGGAGGAUGACGUGUAUCAAAAAGGAAAGACACAGGUGAAUAAAGAAAUGGUUAUCUAUCUAGGAUUUGAGAUUUUACAGGAGCAACUUUCUGUGUCAUUAAUACUUGUAAAGGACAGCUAAGUCAUCAGGCAGCCCUGUUGUUGGUGCCGUGGGGAGGAAAGAGAGCAGGCCGUUCUUUCAACCUCUAUGUCUUCAGCUCUUGUGUACGCCUGAAUGCUCUGUGCUGCUUUUAGGUAGAGAUAUACUGACCAAGUUAUAAGGCUGUGGAGGCCCAGGUCUUUGUCUUACAGGAAUCAUCUCUUGAAUCUGAAGUACAUGGAGAGGUAGAGAAGAUGGUAAAGCCAAUGCUGUGGGCUGCAGAAACCCAAGGAUGAUCAAGGUUUGCUUACAGGGAAGGCUUCAGAAAAUGCUCUUAUGGCUGCACCUCUGCAAACCACAAGGUCCUGACGUGCACAAAAGCCAGCUGGGUGCUUUCCCAUGGAAGAAGCUCUGGCACAGAGCUGACCAACCAGACCCCUAGAUUGCUCCAGAAGUGCUCUGUGUCCUAUAUGGAACAGUGAUAAUGCCUGCACAGCUCACUAACACAAGGGCAGAUUCCUCCUGCUCCUCCCAGCAGCUCUGUCAGCGUCCAACAGAUCAGAUUGUCCCACUGGAGCUGGCAGUUGUUCUUCCACUCAUGCUCAAUAACUGUCAUCGCCAACCAGUCCAAGCCAGGAGAAACUGUCCAAGUCAGCAGAGAAGCAGAU